UCCGGUUUAUCACCGGCAGUCUCCACAGAGUCCUCGGCUUUACCCGUUAGUAACUGUGAACAAGGGUUGCGCUCGUUGCGGGACUUAACCCAACACCUCACGGCACGAGCUGACGACAGCCAUGCAGCAUCUGUGCUGGCUCUCGACUUUACGAGUGGUUCCCCUUUCGGGGUUCUACUUCCAGCAUGUCAAGCCUAGGUGAGGUUCUUCGCGUUGCAUCGAAUUAAACCACACGCUCCGCUGCUUGUGCGGGCCCCCGGCAAUUCCUUUGAGUUUUAGCCUUGCGGCCGUAGUCCCCAGGCGGAGCACUUAUCGCGUUAGCUGCGGCACCGGAGGGGUCGAUACCCCCGACACCUAGUGCUCAUCGUUUACGGCGUGGACUAC
rnacentral:misc_RNA from 1 species